rnacentral:rRNA from 1 species
GUGGACCUACGGGGGGCAGCAGUGGGGGAUAUUGGACAAUGGGGGAAACCCUGAUCCAGCGAUGCCGCGUGAGGGAAGAAGGUUUUCGGAUUGUAAACCUCUGUGGAGGGGGACGAUAAUGACGGUACCCCUUUAGGAAGCCCCGGCUAACUACGUGCCAGCAGCCGCGGUAAUACGUAGGGGGCAAGCGUUAUCCGGAAUUACUGGGUGUAAAGGGAGAGUAGGCGGCAAGGUAAGCGAUAUGUGAAAGCCUUAGGCUUAACCAAAGGAUUGCAUAACGAACUAUCUAGCUAGAGUACAGGAGA